rnacentral:rRNA from 1 species
UUGAACGCUGGCGGCAGGCCUAACACAUGCAAGUCGAGCGGUAGCACAGAGAGCUUGCUCUCGGGUGACGAGCGGCGGACGGGUGAGUAAUGUCUGGGAAACUGCCUGAUGGAGGGGGAUAACUACUGGAAACGGUAGCUAAUACCGCAUAAUGUCGCAAGACCAAAGUGGGGGACCUUCGGGCCUCAUGCCAUCAGAUGUGCCCAGAUGGGAUUAGCUAGUAGGUGGGGUAACGGCUCACCUAGGCGACGAUCCCUAGCUGGUCUGAGAGGAUGACCAGCCACACUGGAACUGAGACACGGUCCAGACUCCUACGGGAGGCAGCAGUGGGGAAUAUUGCACAAUGGGCGCAAGCCUGAUGCAGCCAUGCCGCGUGUGUGAAGAAGGCCUUCGGGUUGUAAAGCACUUUCAGCGGGGAGGAAGGCGUUAAGGUUAAUAACCUUGGCGAUUGACGUUACCCGCAGAAGAAGCACCGGCUAACUCCGUGCCAGCAGCCGCGGUAAUACGGAGGGUGCAAGCGUUAAUCGGAAUUACUGGGCGUAAAGCGCACGCAGGCGGUCUGUCAAGUCGGAUGUGAAAUCCCCGGGCUCAACCUGGGAACUGCAUUCGAAACUGGCAGGCUAGAGUCUUGUAGAGGGGGGUAGAAUUCCAGGUGUAGCGGUGAAAUGCGUAGAGAUCUGGAGGAAUACCGGUGGCGAAGGCGGCCCCCUGGACAAAGACUGACGCUCAGGUGCGAAAGCGUGGGGAGCAAACAGGAUUAGAUACCCUGGUAGUCCACGCCGUAAACGAUGUCGAUUUGGAGGUUGUGCCCUUGAGGCGUGGCUUCCGGAGCUAACGCGUUAAAUCGACCGCCUGGGGAGUACGGCCGCAAGGUUAAAACUCAAAUGAAUUGACGGGGGCCCGCACAAGCGGUGGAGCAUGUGGUUUAAUUCGAUGCAACGCGAAGAACCUUACCUGGUCUUGACAUCCACAGAACUUUCCAGAGAUGGAUUGGUGCCUUCGGGAACUGUGAGACAGGUGCUGCAUGGCUGUCGUCAGCUCAUGUUGUGAAAUGUUGGGUUAAGUCCCGCAACGAGCGCAACCCUUAUCCUUUGUUGCCAGCGGUCCGGCCGGGAACUCAAAGGAGACUGCCAGUGAUAAACUGGAGGAAGGUGGGGAUGACGUCAAGUCAUCAUGGCCCUUACGACCAGGGCUACACACGUGCUACAAUGGCAUAUACAAAGAGAAGCGACCUCGCGAGAGCAAGCGGACCUCAUAAAGUAUGUCGUAGUCCGGAUUGGAGUCUGCAACUCGACUCCAUGAAGUCGGAAUCGCUAGUAAUCGUAGAUCAGAAUGCUACGGUGAAUACGUUCCCGGGCCUUGUACACACCGCCCGUCACACCAUGGGAGUGGGUUGCAAAAGAAGUAGGUAGCUUAACCUUCGGGAGGGCGCUUACCACUUUGUGAUUCAUGACUGGGGUG